rnacentral:lncRNA from 1 species
GACAACCCAUACAUUUCAGAAAAGUAGCUGGAAUAAUAAACAUGUUUUUCAGUUGUCCAGUGGAGCCCCAAAAUAGAAGCAAGAUGAAUAUUCCAUUCCGCAUUGGCAAUGCCAAAGGAGAUGAUGCUUUAGAAAAAAGAUUUCUUGAUAAAGCUCUUGAACUCAAUAUGUUGUCCUUGAAAGGGCAUAGGGUCUGUGGGAGGCAUCCGGGCCUCUCUGUAUAAUGCUGUCACAAUUGAAGACGUUCAGAAGCUGGCCGCCUUCAUGAAAAAAUUUUUGGAGAUGCAUCAGCUAUGAACACAUCCUAACCAGGAUAUACUCUGUUCUUGAACAACAUACAAAGUUUAAGUAACUUGGGGAUGGCUACAAAAAGUUAACACAGUAUUUUUCUCAAAUGAACAUGUUUAUUGCAGAUUCUUCUUUUUUGAAAGAACAACAGCAAAACAUCCACAAAUCUGUAAAGCUGGUGGGACCUAAUGUCACCUUAAUUCUGACUUGAACUGGAAGCAUUUUAAGAAAUCUUGUUGCUUUUCUAACAAAUUCCCGCUUAUUUUGCCUUUGCUGCUACUUUUUCUAGUUAGAUUUCAAACUUGCCUGUGGACUUAAUAAUGCAAGUUGCGAUUAAUCAUUUCUGGAGUCAUGGGAACACACAGCACAGAGGGUAGGUGGGGCCCUCUAGGUGCUGAAUCUACACAUCUGUGGGGUCUCCUGGGUUCAGCGGCUGUUGAUUCAAGGUCAACAUUGACCACUGGAGGAGUGGUUUAAGAGUGCCAGGCAAAGGGCAAACUGUAGAUCGAUCUUUAUGCUGUUAUUACAGGAGAAGUGACAUACUUUAUAUAUGUUUAUAUUAGCAAGGUCUGUUUUUAAUACCAUAUACUUUAUAUUUCUAUACAUUUAUAUUUCUAAUAAUACGGUUAUCACUGAUAUAUGUAGACACUUUUAGAAUUUAUUAAAUCCUUGACCUUGUGCAUUACAGCAUUCCAUUAGCAAGAGUUGUACCCCCUCCCCAGUCUUCGCCUUCCUCUUUUUAAGCUGUUUUAUGAAAAAGACCUAGAAGUUCUUGAUUCAUUUUUACCAUUCUUUCCAUAGGUAGAAGAGAAAGUUGAUUGGUUGGUUGUUUUUCAAUUAUGCCAUUAAACUAAACAUUUCUGUUAAAUUACCCUAUCCUUUGUUCUCUACUGUUUUCUUUGUAAUGUUUGACUACGAGAGUGAUACUUUGCUGAAAAGUCUUUCCCCUAUUGUUUAUCUAUUGUCAGUAUUUUAUGUUGAAU